rnacentral:rRNA from 1 species
UACGAAGGUGGCAAGCGUUGUUCGGAUUUACUGGGCGUAAAGGGAGCGUAGGUGGUCGGGUAAGCCCCGCAGGAAAGCUCCAGGCUUAACCUGGAAAGGUCGCGGGGGACUGCGCGGCUAGAGGACGGGAGAGGAGCGCGGAAUUCCCGGUGUAGCGGUGAAAUGCGUAGAGAUCGGGAGGAAGGCCGGUGGCGAAGGCGGCGCUCUGGAACGGCCCUGACACUGAGGCUCGAAAGCGUGGGGAGCAAACAGGA